rnacentral:rRNA from 1 species
GGCUCCCUGAAUAGUAUAUAUAGGGAGUCGGACCUGCCCAGUGAAAGAAUUUUAACGGCCGCGGUACUCUGACCGUGCAAAGGUAGCAUAAUCACUUGCCUUAUAAUUGAAGGCUGGUAUGAAUGGUUUGACGAAAGCACUUCUGUCUCUCCCUCAUUCUAUAAAAAUUAACUUCCAGGUGAAGAGGCCUGCUUAAAAUUGAAGGACGAGAAGACCCUGUCGAGCUUAAAGAAAACAGGGAAAACCUUAUAUUUAAUAAAUAUAGAACCUUUUUUAUCUUUUGGUUGGGGCGACUGGGGAACAACUAAAGCUUCCCUUACCGAUUAAAAUCGAUCUAUUAGGAUCCAGCAAACAAAACUGCUGAUUAAAAGAAUUAGUUACCGCAGGGAUAACAGCAUAAUCCCUCUUGAGAGACCUUAUCGAAAGAGGGGGUUGUGACCUCGAUGUUGGACUAGGAUUUCCUAAGGGUGCAGAAGCCUUUAAGGGUUGGUCUGUUCGACCAUUAAAAUCCUACG